GCGAGAAAGAAAGCACAAGAAGUAAGAAAACGCGAGAAGCAAGAAUGCGCGAGAACACGCGUUGGAGCGCACGUGCAUCACGUGACGUUUGCAAGAUCGAGUUUCAAAUGCAAAUUUCAAUGCGCUGGCAGCGGUAGCGCCUGUGGCGCAACGCAUUAAGUUACAGCUUACUUCCGAUUUGGUGGCUUAACCAAUACGAAUAUGGCAAAUUGUUAUUUUUGCGGUAUCGCGUUCUUUUGCUCGGAGUUUUCAAGGCGAACAACGUCGGUAUUCGAAGUUACACGCUCAUAUUGUCUAUUGAGUACUUUUCCUGUGGAAUUCUGUGGAACGUCUUGUCAUUCUCGAGAGUUGAUUUUAAGAGGUGAGUGUGUGUAGUGUUCCUAGUUGAAGUAUCUGUAUUUCUGUUGCGCUUAUGGAAAUUUAUAUCGCGUAAUCGCUUCUCAACAGAGUUACAAACCGGGC